AGAGAUGGCUGUGCUAGGGUUUGAAGAUUUGGGCAAGGUUGAUUGGGCUUGGAAGAGUGGUGGAGUUUUACCCAAACGAGGUGAUAUAGGUACUAGCGCUAGUGCUCCGACCACGGAUCAGCAGGGAGGCGCGUGACGUGGAUGGCCUGGACUAGUGUUGGUGUGGUGGUUUGCUUUUAUUAUGUUUAAGUAGUGUUUAUGUUAUGGAUGAAUGAUGAUUUUGGUUGGUUAGGCUUGAGGCCUUGGUAUGUACAUGCGUAUAGGAUUUAUGAUUUGGGAUGAUAUGGACUGAGGCCCUGGAUGAUUAUUUUGGUGGUA